rnacentral:rRNA from 1 species
UACGUAGGGUGCAAGCGUUGUUCGGAAUUAUUGGGCGUAAAGAGCUCGUAGGCGGUUUGUCGCGUCUGCUGUGAAAACUCGGGGCUUAACCCCGGGCCUGCAGUGGGUACGGGCAGACUAGAGUGCGGUAGGGGAGACUGGAAUUCCUGGUGUAGCGGUGAAAUGCGCAGAUAUCAGGAGGAACACCGGUGGCGAAGGCGGGUCUCUGGGCCGAUACUGACGCUGAGGAGCGAAAGCGUGGGGAGCGAACAGG